rnacentral:tRNA from 1 species
GGUGUGGUACGCCAACGGCUGAGCGGCUUGUCUUAGGAACAAGUGUUUGUGGGUUCGAAUCCCUCCUGCACCAC